CCUACGGGGGGCAGCAGUGAGGAAUAUUGGUCAAUGGACGAGAGUCUGAACCAGCCAAGUAGCGUGAAGGAUGACUGCCCUAUGGGUUGUAAACUUCUUUUAUAUGGGAAUAAAAUGUUCCACGUGUGGGAUUUUGUAUGUACCAUAUGAAUAAGGAUCGGCUAACUCCGUGCCAGCAGCCGCGGUAAUCCGGAGGAUCCGAGCGUUAUCCGGAUUUAUUGGGUUUAAAGGGAGCGUAGGUGGAUUGUUAAGUCAGUUGUGAAAGUUUGCGGCUCAACCGUAAAAUUGCAGUUGAAACUGGCAGUCUUGAGUACAGUAGAGGUGGGCGGAAUUCGUGGUGUAGCGGUGAAAUGCUUAGAUAGCACGAAGAACUCCGAUUGCGAAGGCAGUUCACUGGACUGCAACUGACACUGAGGCUCGAAAGUGUGGGUAUCAAACAGGAUUAGAUACCCUGGUAGUC
rnacentral:rRNA from 1 species